rfam:Enterococcus canis strain DSM 17029 Scaffold6, whole genome shotgun sequence.
AGAGUGUUAUGAUGUUGGAGCCCUCGCUCCGAGUCUAGCUCUGCGCGACUCUCCGGAACUCUCCGGAGAGU